rnacentral:tRNA from 1 species
AUUUAUAUAGUUUAAUAAAAACAUUUCAUUUUCAAUGAAAAAAAAAGAAAUAAUUCUUUAUAAAUUU